AUUAAGAUUUUGAUGUUCAUAAAAUGUAACUUAAUUUAUUAAUUUUAUAUAACUUUUUUAUUUAAUUAAAAAUAAGAGAACAAUUUUAUUUUUUUCUAUAAAAUAUUCUAUUAUUAUAUUUUAAAGAUAUAAAAUUUAAAAAUUUAUAUCUAAAAAAUAAGAUAUUAAAAAAAAAUAAAAUGAAUUUAAAAGAACAAAGAAACAAAAAAUUCUGAGAGGCUUAAGUAAAAAUGCGUUUAUUACACGAUGUAUAGCAAACUCAAUGCGAGUAGUAUUUAGUGAAAUAUCAAUAUCGCAGUAUCGAACUGUUUUACCCGAUCAAAGUACUUUGCAGAUAACUGAUAAGGUACUCGAUUCUUGUAUAGUUCACUUACAUAACAGUAGGCGUGUACUCAAAAUUAGAUAGUCGACGUUCUCAAAUGUAAUUUUUAAGGUAAAAAUGAGAGACGAAAUUUUUCGAAGCCAUUUCUAUAAAAAAUUGAUUUCAAUAGAAUCAAUAUGAAUACAUAAGUAUGAUUAGAAUAAAUCUAUAUAUUAUGAAAUGAAAAUCUUCAAUUCAAAAUCAAUUCACCAGUUCAAAAUUCAAAAAUAAAACUUAAAUAUUAGUAACAUUGAAUAAAAAAAAAUAAUAAGAGUGUAAAUCUAAGAGUGCAAAUGAAGAAUAAUUUGAAGAUUUUUUUUACAUUUUACUAUAAUAAUAUAUAUAAAUCAAUUGAAAAAUUAUGAUCAUAGUUUGAAUAAAAAAAAGCGCGCUUUUAAUGAAAUAUUUACACAAUUAUCAAAAGGAUUACAAUUAUCGUAUUCUUAUCACUUAACUAGCAUGUUGUGAAUCACCAAUUUCGUUAGCUAAUUAAAACGUAACAUUGUCGUUUGUGACAAGAUAUGAAGAAAACAAAGUUGAUAUAAUGUAAAAGAAUGAGACACGUCACCAUCGGUUCAACAGUUGCGAUCGAGUUCGCUUGUUCCUCGGGCAGUAAACGUUUCACAGCAUGGCUCAUAAGAAUUGCAAGAAAGAAAGGAUGAUCGUAUUAAAUUCAUCCACUCACAAGGGAUCUUGAAUACUCUCCAGCACUCUGACACUACUCCGGACACCAUUAUAAAAUGCGAUUCUCACGAAUGAAAAAAACUUUUGUUAUCGGUAAAAAAAGGAUACACUGUUGAAAUAUAUCACCAAAACACAAAUUCAUCGAAAUAACACUUUUAAAUUUGUUGGACGUAAAAGAAACAGAACACACAGAGUCUAAAUAUGCAAGUAGCCAAACGUUGCAAUGUUGCACAGAAAAAUAGAAGUAACACUCGGUCGGUAACUUUUAAACACCAUGAAACACUAUAUAAACACAUUAUUCUUCAUAAUCUUAAAAAUACAGUUCAAAUAAAGAUAGAACUGUAAGAGAAAUAGGAAAAAUGUAUAUACCCAGAAGGCUGAAGAAUAUGAAGUAAAUAAAUUACCACGCUACGAACAAAA